rnacentral:rRNA from 1 species
GAUGAACGCUAGCGGGAGGCUUAACACAUGCAAGUCGUGGGGCAGCACGGGGUAGCAAUAUCCUGGUGGCGACCGGCGCACGGGUGAGUAACGCGUAUGCAACCUACCCAGUACAGGGGGAUAGCCCGGAGAAAUUCGGAUUAAUACCCCAUAAUGAUAUUAAUAGGCAUCUUUUAAUAUUUAAAGCUACGGCGGUACUGGAUGGGCAUGCGUAAGAUUAGCUAGUUGGUAGGGUAACGGCCUACCAAGGCUCCGAUCUUUAGGGGUCCUGAGAGGGUGAUCCCCCACACUGGUACUGAGACACGGACCAGACUCCUACGGGAGGCAGCAGUGAGGAAUAUUGGUCAGUGGGCGCAAGCCUGAACCAGCCAUCCCGCGUGAAGGAAGAAGGCGCUAUGCGUUGUAAACUUCUUUUCCGGAGGAAUAAAAUUUUGUACGAGUACAGGACUGAAGGUACUCCGGGAAUAAGCAUCGGCUAACUCCGUGCCAGCCGCCGCAGUAAUAC